rnacentral:ncRNA from 1 species
GAGAUGCGCUGUCUACGCACGCUCGGGAAUCUGUACGACGUCGCCCGUACCGGCACGGGGCGACACAGAUCAAAAAGGA